rnacentral:lncRNA from 1 species
CUUCAGGUUAUAAACAAGAUGACAACAAGAUGUUAAUGAAUCUGAUUCCAGAAGAAAAAAAAAAACACAAAAAACCACAAAGCAAGACAUUUUAAAAUUAAUAUAGACUGAGCUAAGAGAAAAAAUGUUCAGAGAGCUUUAGCCUAGUGAAACAUGGGCGCAUCUUCUCCAAGGGGAAGCUGUACUGUAAAUCAAACUGAAAAGGGAAAAAACAGCCUGAGGAAGAUAUUAAUGCUUGCUAGAGAGGUAAGGAAGAUGUCAGCAAGUAACAAAAGGGGACCGAGAGAAAAGGGAGCAAGUAACCACUUUUAUUUGGCAAAAUAAGAGGCAGUGGUAGAACAGGGAAAAAAAGUGUACCCGUGAGUUGGACUCCAUCAUUCCUUUGGGUCCCUUCCAACCUGGGAUAUUCUGCCAUUCUGUGUACCUGUAUCAAAAGCUCCACAUAUGUAGGAAGAAUUGUGGCUACUCAGUUAUGUG